AUGAGAAUGAGAUUAGGGUUGAGAUUAUGUGACUAUCCAGCUUCAGUUUGUAAACGUGGUUCUUCUCCUCCGCGAAACACGAGCGACACUACUCCCUUCUUUCUCCGGUCGAUUCUUUCUCAGGUCUCCCAUCAUCACAUACCGCCGUCUCCGUGUUAUCAUCUUCUUCAUCAAGAUUCCGCCAUGCACUGUCAAACAACGACCAUGCCUGAUUGA